rnacentral:lncRNA from 1 species
ACACAAUCUCAUUUCAUUUCUCUUUCAUCUUCCUUACACUUUUUUUUUUAACCUCUUCUACUCUUUUCAUUGAAGAAAAAACAACAGCAGCAAUCAAAGCAAUCCGUUUUUGUUUUCAUCCAAAUCGAAGAAGAGAGGUUCACUGCUUGAGUGUACAAUGCGUCAACGUCGUCCUAGACCAGUAUUUGUGUGUGGCUAUAUAUACCC